rfam:Metarhizium anisopliae BRIP 53293 unplaced genomic scaffold Scaffold_13, whole genome shotgun sequence.
GGUGAGAUGGCCGAGUUGGUUAUGGCGUCAGGUUAAGGUCACCUUAAUUACUACCAGUUUCCUGAUGGAGCAAUCCUCCUGGGUUCGAGUCCCAGUCUCAUCA